GACAGAGGGUGCAAGCGUUGUUCGGAAUCAUUGGGCGUAAAGGGCGCGUAGGCGGUUUUAUAAGUCGGAUGUGAAAUCCCAGGGCUCAACCGUGGAAGUGCAUCCGAAACUGUAUAACUUGAAUCCCAGAGAGGGCGGUGGAAUUCCCAGUGUAGAGGUGAAAUUCGUAGAUAUUGGGAGGAACACCAGUGGCGAAGGCGGCCGCCUGGAUGGAGAUUGACGCUGAGGCGCGAGAGCGUGGGGAGCAAACAGG
rnacentral:rRNA from 1 species